AGCCGGUUCAAGCAUCCGAUUUCUAGGCCUUGUCAUGGCAGUUCAUCAAAACCCCGCUCCGUCCGCCUCCUAUUGUGUGAAGCUUGCCCCCUCACUCAUUCCAGUGAUUCCCCAUCCUCAUGUCCGAUCCUAAGGUACAUAGAAGCUUGUCGCUGGUCCUAACCCUGUAUGUGCCUCCCUUCUUAUGUGAUUUGCUGAGCCAAGAGCAACAUGAAGUGGCUUUGAACACUUUCCUACCAAUGCCGCAACCAACAUCCCAAAGCCGCACUCAAAAUCUGCAAAUGCCGAUAGCCUGGAGCUCUCGCAUGAACAGUGCGAGAGGGAGAGGGAUCUGGAUCACGACAGAGAGGAAUUGGAAUGGCGGGCUAAGACGAGAUUGGAGGCUAAGGAAUCAACAAUAAAAUGGUGGAAGCAUAUUUUUCCUAUAGUAGCGGAUUUUAAAACUGCCUCUGCCUUAACUAAUUGGCUGCUAAAGUUAUAAAUAUUUAGGAGUUUUGAGUAGGGGUUAAAACUGCUGUGUAAACCUCUCUAUAGCAACAAUUUAUAAACUGCCGCUACAAUGUGCUGCGAAAAGAUCAUAAUUUUGGUAGUGAAUGUUGCUAAUUUUGCCAUA